UACGUAGGGGGCAAGCGUUGUCCGGAAUCAUUGGGCGUAAAGCGCGUGUAGGCGGCUCGAUAAGUCUGCUGUGAAAGUCCAGGGCUCAACCCUGGAAUGCCGGUGGAAACUGUCGAGCUAGAGUCCGGAAGAGGCGAGUGGAAUUCCUGGUGUAGCGGUGAAAUGCGCAGAUAUCAGGAGGAACACCAAUGGCGAAAGCGACUUUCUGGUCCUUAACUGACGCUGAGGCGCGAAAGCAUGGGGAGCGAACGGG
rnacentral:rRNA from 1 species